rnacentral:lncRNA from 1 species
AUGGGUGCUACAUAUUCACAGUUAUUGAUUUAUUCCUUCAGAAGCUUUCAACUGGAGUUCACCAUUUCUUCCAGGGAACCAAGAAGUUUGUGGAUUUCCGGGUCCCUUUCAUUCUUAUGCAGUGUAUUGCCAUUAAGAAUGCCCUUUGAUUUGACAAAGUGAUGUUGGCACCUGACACUAUUCCUUGACUUUAUUAAGUGAGUAUAAUUAAAAGUUAUUUGCGUUCAAUUAUUUGCUUAUCUGCUUCUUUGAUUGUGCUUUCUCUUUUCAUCAAUACCAAUUUUAGUUUCAUUUAAUCAAACUGGUGAAAUAAUUAGAUAGAUAAGAAAUUUAAAGUAAAACUGAUGCAUCAACCUUGAUAAGACCCUAAGGUUUCCUGGAAUAUCAACUUCCUUUAUCACUAUUCUCCCUAAGGUUCACCUUGAUUUUUAUAUGCAUUUUAACUUUUGUGGGCUGGGAUAGAGUGGUUACUGUGGGAUCCAUUAAAAUAAACACAAAAUGUUAAAUGGUGAGUAAGGUAAAAUGCUUUAAUAUAAAAUAUUAUGGGGGGAAUUCCAUAAAUAUGUAGAAUCUGACGUAUGUAGAAGUUUCAUAUUCAAUAAGAAAUUGGAUCAAAAUGAUCAUUUAAAACUACCCAUUAGUAGGACAAGGGAGAGGAGCAAAAACAAACAAACAAACAAACAAACAAACAAACUGUUGGGUACUAGGCUUAGUACCUAGGUGAUGAAAUAUUCUGUACAACAAACCCCCGUGACAUGAGUUUACCUAUAUAACAAACCUGACUAUGUACCUCCAAACCUAAAGUAAACUUUAAAAAAAAGCUACCACUUCGAUAAAGGGAACAAUCUUGGACUAUAUACGCAUUUGUUAAACUCCUCAUGUAAGCCUAGCACCUUCCUUACUAGAUUUGUGAGAGGUUUCAGAUGAUACAACAUUAGACAUAUAGAUGGACCAGACUUAGAUGGAACCUGAAUAUCUUAGUUUAACUCUCUCCUUCAGAAGACCAGAAAGGUACAGUGAUUUCCUCAAGAUUAGGUAAAGGAGGGAGAAAGAGAAAGAAAGAAGUCUUAGAGUGAUAAAUAGAAAACAACUUCUGGACUUCUGAUGAAAGUUCUUUCUACUACUGAUUGAGAGAAAAAUAAGUUUUCAUUGCCUGGCAUCUGAACCCACCCCACAACUAGUUCCCAUUGUGUGAGUCUUAGUGUAAAGUAUUCCUCCCUCUCUAAACCUGCUGCUAAGCCAGGUCAUGGGCACAUGAUCCAGUCUGGAAUGAUCCCCACCUGGGGCUUUGGAUAUUGAAGGACUAAAGUAAAAGAGGCAGUGAGAUGAGAUUUGCCAACCAAUAAUGCUGGCAGUGUCCCGUGGCUAACAAGGUCUUGCCAUGGUGUUUAGGUCCCGUAGUGGUUGUGGACUACAGCAAAGUCAGCAGCAACAUCCUAACCCAAUUUCCUGCUGCCUCUCCUCCCCAGUUUCUCAUCUUUGUCCAAGCAUUUCUUUCUAGAGUUUCUGUAAACUUAAUGUGUUCUCUAAUGGCUUCCUAUUGAAUCCUUUUUUUUUUUUUUUUUUUUUGCACACGGAAAAUAACUCUGAUAAAGAAACCAGUGUCACAAAAUAAACCAUAGGCAACCGACUCUCAGGGAAAAUUAAAAAUCAGGACUGGUUGACUGCCAGUAAACCAAACCUUAGAAACACAGCUGCAAAACAACUUAAACAGUUGCCUAUGGUCACCUGGAAUGCCUAUUGAGAGUAUGAUUCAAGAAUAGUAUAAAGGGCAUGAGGAGUUCGAUGACAGCUGAUGAGGUGACUGCUUCUUAUAACGAAUAGCUUAAUGGCGAAAAAGUCAUUUGCCUCAGCAGAUCUGAGGUGGUCAAAGACAAAUUCAGACUUUGGUUUGAUCCUGUGUGCUGAUGAAUUACAAUGUCAGUAGUACUCACAGCCCUGACAGUUUCUUCGGUGCAUAUUGUGGCAUUAUCUGGGUUAGAUUGAAAGCUGGAAAAUUGACAUGGAAAUAUAUGAGAGGAUUUAGAAGACUCCAUGAAUGCUGAACCCUUAAUUCUCAUUAAAUCUCUUUUGCCAGCUUCAGAAAUCUCU